AGUUAGCGACUGUCACGUCACCCACCGUACUCAAGGUAGCGACUAUCACGUCACCCACCGUACUCAAGAAGAGAAUAGAUAUCACGGUACCUGAACCACGUGACUUUUUCGGCUAUGUGUGGGACAAUCGGAUGUAAACAAAACGUCGCUUCAGACUUGAAAAGGAUUAGUCGAAAGAUCUGUAACGCUUUUAAGGUUCGAAGCUGUGUAAGAACUACAUGAACACCAUCAAACCACACGGAAGGUGAUAUGUGGC